AUCGAGCUGAUGAGUCCCAAAUAGGAUGAAAUGCAUAUUCUUGAU
rfam:Schistosoma curassoni strain Dakar, Senegal genome assembly, scaffold: SCTD_scaffold0000721